UGCCCCAGUAACGGCGAGUGAAGCGGCAACAGCUCAAAUUUGAAAUCUGGCUUCUUCGGAGUCCGAGUUGUAAUUUGUAGAGGGUGUUUCGGGCGAGGCGCCGGCCUAAGUUCCUUGGAACAGGACGUCAUAGAGGGUGAGAAUCCCGUAUGCGGCCGGCGACCGACUCCAUGUGAAACCCCUUCGACGAGUCGAGUUGUUUGGGAAUGCAGCUCAAAAUGGGUGGUAUAUUUCAUCUAAAGCUAAAUACCGGCCAGAGACCGAUAGCGCACAAGUAGAGUGAUCGAAAGAUGAAAAGCACUUUGGAAAGAGAGUUAAAAAGUACGUGAAAUUGUUGAAAGGGAAGCGCUUGCAACCAGAUCCGUCUCCGGGUGAUCAGCCUCCGUUUUCGGUGGUGCACUCGCCCGGUUAUGGGCCAGCAUCGGUUUGGGCGGUUGGAUAAAGGCCAGAGGAACGUAGCUCCCCCCGGGGAGUGUUAUAGCCUCGGUGUCAUGCAGCCAGCCCGGACCGA
rnacentral:rRNA from 1 species